GCCUGCCUAGCUCAAUCGGAUAGAGCGUCAGACUCUUACGCCCGGCUCUGACACGAUUCACGAUUGAGGGGGAUGGGUGAUCUGAAGGCUGCGAGUUCGACCCUCGCGGUGGGCU